UGGUUUGUAAAGUAUUAAAAUUACCCAGGCAAAAUAAUUAUAAAAUUGCAUUUAUAAAAUACACAUAUCACACAUAUAUAUUGAAUCAUAAAAAUGAAAGUUUGUUUUAAUAUACAUUCCACUGUUCAGUGUUGGUUAAGACAUAUGUACAUGCAAAUCCUUUGUUUAAUGCAAGUAAUUAUCAAAUAAAAUAAAAUAUUAAGGAUGCAGUAUAUUACAUCCAAGAAGGACAGGUUCUGUUCAUAUUUCUUGGUUCAAAAUCACACUGGAAAUU
rnacentral:lncRNA from 1 species